CCUACGGGGUGCAGCAGUGGGGAAUAUUGCACAAUGGGGGGAACCCUGAUGCAGCAACGCCGCGUGGGUGAAGAAGUACUUCGGUAUGUAAAGCCCUGUCAGCAGGGAAGAAAAUGACGGUACCUGACCAAGAAGCCCCGGCUAACUACGUGCCAGCAGCCGCGGUAAUACGUAGGGGGCAAGCGUUAUCCGGAUUUACUGGGUGUAAAGGGAGCGUAGACGGCAAGGCAAGUCUGGAGUGAAAGCCCGUGGCUCAACCACGGGACUGCUUUGGAAACUGUGUUGCUGGAGUGCAGGAGGGGUAAGCGGAAUUCCUAGUGUAGCGGUGAAAUGCAUAGAUAUCACGCAGAACCCCGAUUGCGAAGGCAGCCUUCCGGCGCCCUACUGACGCUGAGGCACGAAAGUGCGGGGAUCGAACAGGAUUAGAUACCCGAGUAGUC
rnacentral:rRNA from 1 species